rnacentral:rRNA from 1 species
CCCAAAGCCGGUGGGGUAACCUUCGGGAGCCAGCCGUCUAAGGUAAAGUCGAUGAUUGGGGUGAAGUCGUAACAAGGUAGCCGUAUCGGAAGGUGCGGCUGGAUCACCUCCUUUCUAGGGAGA